CGCGGGGUAGAGCAGUUCGGUAGCUCGUCGGGCUCAUAACCCGGAGGUCGUGUGGUUCAAAUCCCACCCCCGCAACCA
rnacentral:tRNA from 1 species